rnacentral:snRNA from 1 species
GUAGUUUGGGUUGUAUUUUACCA